rnacentral:rRNA from 1 species
UACGUAGGGACCGAGCGUUGUCCGGAAUCAUUGGGCGUAAAGAGCGUGUAGGCGGCCUUUUAAGUCCUGCGUGAAAUCCUGCGGCUCAACCGCAGACGGUCGUGGGAAACUGGAAGGCUAGAGUGCGGGAGAGGAGAGUGGAAUUCCCGGUGUAGCGGUGAAAUGCGCAGAUAUCGGGAAGAACACCCGUGGCGAAGGCGGCUCUCUGGAACGCAACUGACGCUGAGACGCGAAAGCGUGGGGAGCAAACCGG